UCGUCGGCUGCAUCCCUCACCCACGUCGCUGUUGCAGGAUCUUCAUCCGUCAUCCUGAGCAAUUGGGGCGGCGAUGCGGGCGAGCUUCACGAUAGUGGGGAGGACCAGGCCGCGGUGAAGGCAGGUCAUGCGCUCCUCACGCUCCACGAACGGAACCUGCGCACGAAGGCGGUAGCGCGGGGUGGCAGCCGGCAAUGAGGCGGCCGCGCUACGUGACGAGCUACGGGUCCCCCUUUGUGAUGUUUUGGCAUCGCUCCUUCAUCGCACAUCCUCAGGUACGUCAAUUCACUUCCUUCCCUUCCCUUCAUCCCUCGGUCCCACGCUCGUGGCGCUGAAGUGGUGGCAACAGGCGAUGGCGGUGGUGUCGCUGAUGGCGGCGAGGACAGCAUGUGGCAGCUCCCGAAGCAUGAACACGACCGCACCUCGGGCCUGCCGUCUGCCAAGAUAUGGCUCUGGCCGAUUGACAAUGGAGGUUUGGGAUCCUUCCUCUCAGCACCCACUCCUGGAAGAAUCAGCGGUGCGCCACGCCGAUUGAACCCCGUCGAGAUCACUCGCCAAGAUUGCUAUUCUGAAGUUUAUUGUAAAGAAAGUGAAGAGUGAGACAGGAUCCGUUUAUUUUCAACCGGUUUAUUUCCAUCAAAUUACCCCCACCCCCACGCCCACCCACCGAAACGCGCCCAGCGAACCGGGGAGAGAUCCAUUGAUUUGGCUAAGGUAGGAAAGAAUCUAUUAUUUGUUUGCUAAAGCAAAUUGCAUUAAUGGGAGAGAUCCGUUGAUUUGGCUAAGGUAGGAAAGAAUC